rnacentral:rRNA from 1 species
GACAGAGGAUGCAAGCGUUAUCCGGAAUGAUUGGGCGUAAAGCGUCUGUAGGUGGCUUUUCAAGUCCGCCGUCAAAUCCCAGGGCUCAACCCUGGACAGGCGGUGGAAACUACCAAGCUGGAGUACGGUAGGGGCAGAGGGAAUUUCCAGUGGAGCGGUGAAAUGCGUAGAGAUUGGAAAGAACACCGAUGGCGAAGGCACUUUACUGGGCUAUUACUAACACUCAGAGACGAAAGCUAGGGUAGCAAAUGGG